ACCUCACCUUCCUCAUGGUGAAAAUUACUUCAAAACUAUUCAAUUCUUCUCCAAUCUAAGAAGAAAAAACGAAUGAGAUAUUUUAGUUACCUGUUUUGUAGGUUGGCUACCCAGAAGUAGAUAUUAGCUGUUAGUAAAUACAUGCAUUGGAUCCUCCAGAGUGGAGUCCAUCAAACAGCCAUGUGUUUACUUGCCACACUGCUGCUAGGGUCCUUCCCUCUCCCAAUCUCCCAUAAAUUCUUUCUCAACUAAUUAUUAAGUGAUUGCUAAGUGCUUGCUAUGGAGGAGAUUGUUAGAGAAAGAGGAAGAGAGGUGGCCUUUAAACGGCCCGUGUGCUGGAUUAGCUCUCCUACUUCCAACCGGAAGUCAUUACUCCCUUGAGACCACCGAGUCCGAGAGCGAUUGGAAUAAAUACCAGAGAGAUGGGUCGCGUGGUCUCUGCACCCAGUCCUUGCCUCCCUUUCUCUCUUCUUCUUCCUUCUUUGGCCGCAGUGGAUUUGGAUCCGGACCCUCGGGCACGAUGAAGAUGACCGUUGUGUCUCGGAGCGGCAGACCAGUCAUCAAGGGCGUGAUCGAGCUCCAGGAUUCGGCCACCGUGAGCGAUCUACAGGAUGCCAUUCAUGCGCGAAAUUCAGCCAUGCUACUUCACCUCUCUCCCAUGUAUUCAGGAACUGCACCUCUUAUUGUACUUUUGGCUCGUAUAUUGCAUACUAUGCCAAUCAUUCCUUCUAUGCACCUGUUAGUGAUUUGCAAAUGAAGAUAGGGUUUUGCUUUGGGUUGAUCUGGCAAGUUUCAAACUUUUAUUGCCAUCUCCUGUUGAGAAACAUUGGAAGCACUGAUGGCAGUGGUGGUUAUCAAAUUCCUCAUGGUUUUUUGUUCAACAUAGUGACUUGUGCAAACUACGCGGCAGAGAUCUAUCAGUGGCUUGGUUUCAACAUUGCUACACAGACAGUAGCAGGUUAUGUGUUCCUUGUGGUGGCUGCUCUCAUUAUGACUAACUGGGACCUUGCGAAGCACCACAGGCUGAAAAAGAUAUUUGAUGGGAAAGAAGGAUGACCUAAAUAUCCUCGGCAGUGGAUGAUACUUCCUCCAUUUCUCUAAUAAGUAACAGUCCUCUUGGUUGGUUUCUCUGUUCUCAAGAUCCUAACAAUCCAAGUCGAACCAUGUCUGCGAAAUUUAGUAGAUUGUAGAGCUGUAGACCACUGUAUCUGUUUGAGUCACCAAAAAAGUUAAAUGAGCAUAAUUGCUUGUGGAGUGCAUGGUACUCUGCUAAGUUCAUUGUUUAACUUAUUUUAUCCAAGGUACCUCUUCUCACUUUUCUUUUUUUUAAUUUCAAAGUUAUGUAUGUUCAACCAAAUCCAGACACCAAGACAUGGUUGGUCACAGGUCUCGUCAAUUACUCGGUUGUGGUUGUUUUUUCACUCGCUGAAUCUUCCGCUUAAAUGAAGCUGUGGAUAUUAAAACAA